rnacentral:lncRNA from 1 species
GAUUAUUUUUACUCCUCUCUUUAAAGCAUCACCAUUGGACCUGCACAAGGGCUAGCAAGGCACACCCGCAUCACUUGGGGACUCUCUCCGCCUCUCUAGUCACCUGGCGCAAGGCGCUGUCCAGCUGCUGCUUUCUUUGAUCUGUCUUUUCCAAAAUAUCCUGCCAGCGCUGAUUGAGAAUUCUGAGCUUGUACUGGAGGUUGCUUGCUUCUUCGCCUUCACUCGACUCGAUGAGAUCAUUUCCUGCUUUGUUGACGGCUUCUACCGUGGACUGGUGGGCUAAGACGUCGUUUUGGAGCACCUGAAAAUGUUAGCGUGAUCAUUCACUGGAAACACAGUAACAGAGAGGGGUCUCGGGCAUCCCAAGCAAACCUCCAACUCAACAGGUAGCUAAAGACGACACUGGAAUUCUUUUUUGUUUUUACUUUGUUUGUUGUGGUUUUGUUUUUCAAGACAGGGUUUUGCUGUGUAGCCCUGGCAGUCCUGGGGAUUUGCUCUGUAGACCAAGCUGGUCUUGAAUUCACAGAGAUUAAACUACCUGUUUUUGAGUCCCAAAUGCUAGGGAUAAAGGUGUGCUGCUGCCGCUGCUAGGCUGACUUUUUCCACCUCCCGCGUGCUUGGAAUACAGGUGUGGGGUACCACAUCCAGUUGUAGGUAUUGCCGAGGGAUCAAGCCCAGGUCUUUAUGCAUGCUGCAUAAGGAAUCUAGCACCUGAGCCACAGCUCUAGUCCACUCUACCUGUUUCAUUUCUUUCGGUGUGAAAUAUUCUGAAGCCGAAGCCUCAUAACAAAAAGUGUUAAGGCAACAGAGUCCCUCCCUCCAGCUUUGUGGCUCCCUAAAUGGACAUACAUUUAGUUGGCCAGCACUCUCAAAGGGACUGCACACACACUUGACAGCUAUCCCCACUAGAAUGACCUUGUAGCUGAUCUACUACAUACUUCUGUAGAGAUCUGUAGAGAUUAUGACUUGAUGAUUAAAACAUUUUCAUUGAUUCAAGUCCAGUUUAAUUCGACUUAAUCGUAGCAUCCCUUAUCUUAGGGGAUACGCUCACGCUUCUCUUCUCAUUAUAACAGCACCACACAUCUAAGACAUAUGUUUUCUAAUGACUGUUUUGCAAGAAGAACUGUAUUACAUUAUUCUCGCACUGAAGGGAUGCUGGAACUACUAACUUGAAAGGACUCCUUUGCCUAGCGUUAGUCGAGAGUUCAUUAUAAACCUACCCUACCACUCACUGAUGUAUGUUUGGC